rnacentral:lncRNA from 1 species
AAGCCCAAAGACUAUACCCAACCUGCCUGACCUAGACACCUACCUCUAAGAUUCCAACAUCGCCCAUCUCAGAACCAGCAUCAUUUUCUCCAUUUUUUUUGGGUUUUCUUCUUCCUCACCUCUCACCUUCUCCAAACCGAAAACUAUAGGAGCUGUCACCCCAGAUUCUCUCAAAGAACAGACCCUUCUUCUAUACCUAUGAAGCUGUCGCCCCUGCUCUGAACCCGGAUUCAUUCACUCCCAUUUUUCUCACCUUCAUACACACACGGAAAGGUAUUCUACGGCGAAUUGAAGGAACUUUUGAUCCG